GAUGAACGCUAGCGGCAGGCCUAAUACAUGCAAGUCGAACGAGAUUGAGGAGCUUGCUCCUCAUGAAAGUGGCGCACGGGUGCGUAACGCGUAUGCAAUCUACCUUAAUCAGGGGGAUAGCCCGGAGAAAUCCGGAUUAAUACCGCAUAACGUUAUUUUAUGGCAUCAUAGAAUAACCAAACAUUUAUGGGAUUAAGAUGAGCAUGCGUGACAUUAGUUAGUUGGUGAGGUAACGGCUCACCAAGACUACGAUGUCUAGGGGAUCUGAGAGGAUGACCCCCCACACUGGUACUGAGACACGGACCGGACUCCUACGGGAGGCAGCAGUAAGGAAUAUUGGUCAAUGGGCGCAAGCCUGAACCAGCCAUGCCGCGUGUAGGAAGACGGCCCUAUGGGUUGUAAACUGCUUUUAUUCGGGAAUAAACCUCUUUACGUGUAAGGAGCUGAAUGUACCGAAGGAAUAAGGAUCGGCUAACUCCGUGCCAGCAGCCGAC
rnacentral:rRNA from 1 species